UUUCCAAUUGGGCUGUCAUUGGAGUUCUGCAAUUGCUCUUUGUUGCCGAGAUAAUCAACUGAGGUAAGCUAUGCCUAUAGUACCAACUAGUACUUCGCACGGGAGAAGCCUCCACCCAGCAACAGACGUCUUUUCCAUUCGUUAGUUAAGUACUGAAGAAGGUGAAAAACAUUGGAAGGCUUUCGAAACACGUGUUAUUGAGCAUAAUGUCCUCAUCGUGGCCAAACACUACACGCGUGUGGCAAUGCAAAGGAUGAUUUCAUCCUUGAUUUUUCUAUUGAGGAACACAGAAGAAUAUCUAAUGUGGUGUACAGUUAAACUGUAACAUCGUGCGUCGGCAUUGACCCGAUUUUUAAAACCUUUUUAAGGAGAUUAGGUCCUCGAUUACUGCUGAUAUACAGGUCAAAGAUGAAAUAGCGUUAUUUAUAGAUAUUCUUUCGGGUAAUAUAAGUUUUUCGCAUUUCAGCCAACAGAUGUCGACCCUACCGCUUUUGUGUCGGUGACUCGAGAGGACGUUCUGCUCUUGGAUCUGACGAAUUGUGGAUAUGAAUGUACAAAAUCUUUGAUGACUGGAUUUGACACUCAGAACUGUUCCUGUUAGAAAGUGGAUCGAGGCUGAUGCAUACUUUCUUGUCAUAAUGCAAGAGAAAUAGGGUAAAGUUGCUGAAGCUGCAGACAUUCUCCAAGAACGUCUGUUCAAGACCGAUGAUUCUAUGGAAAAGCUAGAAAAUGUAAGACUU